UCAGGUCACCUUCUUAGGUUUGCCCUUCUGUACUUGAUGCAAGAUUCAGUAUCUCCAGCCUUUAUUUAUUUUAGCCAAUUUGCAAAAUUAGCACCUAGAUCCUUGAGUGCAGUACUUUAUUGGGAUAUAUUCUCUCCAUGUCCAUUCCCAGAACUGAGAACCAGCUCUGUGUUGCAGGCACCCAGGGAGUGGUUUCCCUUCAUCUGCUUGUUUGGUUUGGUGCACGCACACCCAGCCAGCAAACCAGGCCUGUUCCCUUUACAAAGAAACAUGGUUUUAUUUAUUACAAGUCAUUUGGCUUUUAAAUUAUCCUUGGCGUUAAACCCUCAUCUGCUUUGCAGAUGGAAGGCAGUACUUACCAAACUGUCUUUAUUGUCUGGGGUAUCCCCAGCCCAGUCAAACCGUUCUGAUGUCCUUCCGACCACUUUCAUCUUAACGUUGUUCCUGAGGCUCAGCUGGGCUCCCUGGAUUUCCCAGGCAGGCAGUAGUCAGCAUGUUCUCUGCAAGCUGUGAUGAGCAGAGAUGGGGCUCUUCUCUCGAGCUGGUUGGAAGCCAUCUAUGGUUUGAAAAUCGUAUCAGUGCUGUUAGCUGAAAAUAAUCAGUUGUUGCUACAUCACUAGUCCUAAUGGUGGGAAAAAAAACCCAACUGCUGCUCCUAAUGAGAUCAUCUGCAGGAAGACUGUACCCUUCCUUACCAGCUGGAUUCAUGGAGAGAAGCAGAGGAGGGACCUCUUUCCAGGUAUAAAUGAACGGAAUCACCAAAUUGUCUUUGAAGGGAAAAAAAAAAAAUCAAGCUGUGUCUAUGUACAGCUUCCUUCAGUUUCUAAAACUCUAUUUUUGGAAAUUUAAAAGCUUUAAAAAGCCUGGAGGAAUCCCAGGCGUACAUACGGACUGGGAGGAGCAAUCCUCGAAAGUAGCCCUGCAGAGAAGGACCUGAGGGUCCUGGUGGAUGAAGAAUUUAUCAUGAGCCAGCAGCGUGCUUUUGGAGCUUGGAAAGCAAAUGGUAUCCUGGGCUCCAUCAGAAGAGGGGUGGCCAGCAGGGAGAGGGAGGUGAUUGUCCCUCUCUAUUCUGCCCUUGUGAGGCCCCAUCUGGAGUACUGCGUCCAGGUAUGGAGCCCUCAGUACAAGACAGGGAGCUGUUGGAGAGGGUCCAGAGGAGGGCCACAAAGAUGAUCAGAGAGCUGGAGAACCUCCUCUACAGAGACAUGCUGAG
ensembl:lncRNA